CAAGAGGAGGCCCAGGAAAAGGAGAGGAAACACAAGAAAAAGGCAGAGAGAGGGAUACCUUGAAAUGGAAUGCAGGCCUGGGACUCCAUAAGCCUGCUGUUCCAGCCAGCCUGUUUCAGAAUUGUCUUUCCUGACGCCUAGCUUUUGGAUGCUACAGAGGGCCCCUGAAGCAUCCAGAAGAGAGGACACAAUUGCAGAAACUAGUUGUUUUACUAAGGCUUUGACUGGAAGGAUAUGCUUCCCUUUGAGGAAUCAAGCUUGGCGUACAGAGCCAAUAAAAGCCCCUUGGGGAAACUGGCUUCAUACCUUGUCUAUACAGUCCCUGUACAGGGUUCCUAACCUGUGGCUAUCAAGCUCCAAAUGGUAAUGCAAAUGAAAUCACACAUGGACACGCCUUUCUUCCAAGGACUCUCAGACCAGCCCUAGGAGGAAUCGUAGCUGCUGUUCCCCACACAAAGCUACUCUGUAGCAGCAAGUAGCCGCAAGGCUCAUCGCCCCAUCUCCCUAACAGCACUUAGGGUCUCCACUCCUGAGGCGGGGGGGGGGGAAAUGAAAGAGUAGAAAGGAAGAAACUGAUUAGGCAGGCAGUUAGCUGGGUCCUCAGUUGAAUUAUUUCAAACAGAAGAACAACCUGCAAGCACAGAUAAGGGAACCUGCAUAGGAGGGCUUGCCUAAGAUAUGCCCACAGCCACACAGAUAAGAAAGCCUACACAGGUGACUUGCCUGGACACGCCUGCAAUGGAAAAUUCUGUCCCCUGACACAUGCACGGUAAGGGGAACAAAGCAAUAUGGAGUGACUCAAGCUAAGGACCUACAUGCGCACUAGGAGGAUAGGGUGGAGCUAGCAGAAGUUUGUGCCUUAUGCAAAUGAGAUGCCAAGGCCUCAUCAGUUUCUUAUAAAAGCCUUUACAUUCAACUGUUAAAAUGGCUAUCCUCUUCUGGACCCCCCUCCAUGGCAGAGAGCUUUCUUUUUUUGCUUAUUAAACGUUCACUCCAACCUCA